GCCUUGUAAUUGGAAUGAUGGUGACCUAAACCCUCACCAGAGUAACAAUUGGAGGGCAAGUCUGGUGCCAGCAGCCGCGGUAAUUCCAGCUCCAAUAGCGUAUAUUAAACUUGUUGCAGUUAAAAAGCUCGUAGUUGAAUUUCUGCGUUAUCGAGUUAUUGACUCUUGUCUUUAAUCGAUUUCGCUUUUGGGAUUUAUCCCUUUUUACUUUGAGAAAAUUAGAGUGUUUCAAGCAGACUUUUGUCUUGAAUACUUCAGCAUGGAAUAAUAGAGUAGGACUUUGGUUCUAUUUUGUUGGUUUUUGAACCUUAGUAAUGGUUAAUAGGAACGGUUGGGGGCAUUCGUAUUUAACUGUCAGAGGUGAAAUUCUUAGAUUUGUUAAAGACGAACUACUGCGAAAGCAUUUGCCAAGGACGUUUCCAUUAAUCAAGAACGAAAGUUAGGGGAUCGAAGACGAUCAGAUACCGUCGUAGUC
rnacentral:rRNA from 1 species